rnacentral:rRNA from 1 species
UAGCGUGAGGGGCGAACGUUGUUCGGUGUCACUGGGCUUAAAGGGUGCGUAGGUGGUUGCGUAAAGUAAGGUGUGAAAUCCCUCGGCUUACCCGGGGAAUUGCAUUUUAUACUGCGUGGCUUGAGGACUAAAGGGGAAAAGGGAACUCCAGGUGUAGCGGUAGAAAUGCGCAGAGUAUCUGGGGGAAGCCGGCGGCGAAGGCGCUUUUCUGGUUAGUACCUGACACUGAGGCACGGAAAGCGAUGGGGAGCAAACAGG